rnacentral:rRNA from 1 species
UACGUAGGUGGCAAGCGUUGUCCGGAAUUACUGGGUGUAAAGGGAGCGUAGGCGGGGGCGCAAGUCCGUUGUUAAAACUAUCGGCUCAACCGGUAGCUGCGGCGGAAACUGUGUCUCUUGAGUGGAGUAGAGGCAGGCGGAAUUCCCAGUGUAGCGGUGAAAUGCGUAGAUAUUGGGAGGAACACCAGUGGCGAAGGCGGCCUGCUGGGCUCUAACUGACGCUGAGGCUCGAAAGUGUGGGGAGCAAACAGGAUUAGAUACCCUGGUAGUCCACACUGUAAACGAUGAUCACUAGGUGUGGGGGGACUGACCCCUUCCGUGCCGGAGUAAACACAAUAAGUGAUCCACCUGGGGAGUACGGCCGCAAGGUUGAA